rnacentral:rRNA from 1 species
CAUAUCAAUAAGCGGAGGAAAAGAAACCAACAGGGAUUGCCCCAGUAACGGCGAGUGAAGCGGCAACAGCUCAAAUUUGAAAUCUGGCCCCCAGGGUCCGAGUUGUAAUUUGCAGAGGAUGAUUUUGGCGAGGUGCCUUCCGAGUUCCCUGGAACGGGACGCCACAGAGGGUGAGAGCCCCGUCUGGUUGGACGCCGAGCCUGUGUAAAUCUCCUUCGACGAGUCGAGUAGUUUGGGAAUGCUGCUCUAAAUGGGAGGUAUAUGUCUUCUAAAGCUAAAUAUUGGCCAGAGACCGAUAGCGCACAAGUAGAGUGAUCGAAAGAUGAAAAGCACUUUGAAAAGAGGGUUAAAUAGUACGUGAAAUUGUUGAAAGGGAAGCGCUCAUGACCAGACUUGGGCCCGCCGAAUCAUCCAGCGUUCUCGCUGGUGCACUUUGCCGGGCUCAGGCCAGCAUCAGUUUGCCCCGGGGGACAAAGGCUUUGGGAAUGUGGCUCCUCCGGGAGUGUUAUAGCCCACUGCACAAUACCCUGGGGUGGACUGAGGUUCGCGCAUCUGCAAGGAUGCUGGCGUAAUGGUCAUCAGCGACCCGUCUUGAAACACGGACCAAGGAGUCGUCUUCGUAUGCGAGUGUUCGGGUGUAAAACCCCUACGCGUAAUGAAAGUGAACGCAGGUGAGAGCUUCGGCGCAUCAUCGACCGAUCCUGAUGUUCUCGGAUGGAUUUGAGUAGGAGCAUACGGGGCCGGACCCGAAAGAAGGUGAACUAUGCCUGUAUAGGGUGAAGCCAGAGGAAACUCUGGUGGAGGCUCGCAGCGGUUCUGACGUGCAAAUCGAUCGUCAAAUAUGGGCAUGGGGGCGAAAGACUAAUCGAACCUUCUAGUAGCUGGUUC